ACGGAGGGGGCAAGCGUUAAUCGGAAUUACUGGGCGUAAAGCGUGCGUAGGCUGUGUAGCAAGCCAGAUGUGAAAGCCCUCGGCUCAACCGGGGAACUGCGUUGGGAACUGCUUGACUUGGGUCCAGGAGAGGGCGGCGGAGUUCCGAGUGUAGCGGUGAAAUGCGUAGAUAUCAGGAGGAACACCGGUGGCGAAGGCGGCCUCCUGGAUCGUUACUGACGCUGAGGUACGAAAGCGUGGGGAGCAAACAG
rnacentral:rRNA from 1 species